UUAUUCUUAGGCUAGAUAAUAAAAAGACAGUCAUUACUAGUACUUUUAGUUCCUUUGGGAUUAACAAUCCGGUCUUGCUAAAACUAUACUACUGUUCGAUAGGUACACUUGCCUAUAUCGUGAUAAUAGUUAGUUUCAAGAAUGAUUCAUUAUAAAUAUUAAAAACCUUCCACAAAAAUCGCGUAUCAAGUUUUUGGCGCCGUUGCGGGGGAACUAAGAUAUUAGAUACGCUCAAUUUUUAUUACUUUAGCCAUUUGUUUUCC
rnacentral:lncRNA from 1 species